UACGGAGGAUCCAAGCGUUAUCCGGAAUCAUUGGGUUUAAAGGGUCCGUAGGCGGGCCUGUAAGUCAGGGGUGAAAUCUUUCGGCUCAACCGGAAAAUUGCCAUUGAUACUGCAGGCCUUGAAUUAUUGGGAAGUAACUAGAAUAUGUAGUGUAGCGGUGAAAUGCUUAGAUAUUACAUGGAAUACCGAUUGCGAAGGCAGGUUACUACCAAUACAUUGACGCUGAUGGACGAAAGCGUGGGGAGCGAACAGG
rnacentral:rRNA from 1 species